GACUCGGAAAACCAUGACAGUUUGUUUCAGUUGCAUGCUUUAAAGAUUUUGGUUUUGGUUGUCUCUGUUACAUUCCUUCAAAGAUUACACCAAGUUUUCCCUUGCUGUUGAAUGCUGCAUUUGUGGGGGUUAAAGGGAGAUUCUAAGUUGAGGGACUAGAGGCCUCAAAAGAAACAAUGAAGAAUCUUUGUGUAAAUGAGUGAAGGUGAAGCAAUGAUGACGAACAUUUGACAUAUCAGAAGUUUGAUAUUUUGAGGGCCCGAGGAUCAGGUUGGAGCUUGUGUAAAAAUAAGCUUUAACUGGGCACCAAACUUUUGAGCUAGUGAACAAGGACCUCCACAAACCUUUCCACUUUCCAUGGCUGGACUUUGUUCUCGCAUAUCUUUUGCUUUGUAAAAAGCGCAAAGUGCAAUCUGCUUUUCCUAUAGGGUUCUACUGUCAGUGCACACUUCACUUCUGAAUUUUCCCCUUUCUCUUUUCUUCUUUUUGUUUGUGUGAACACAUGGAAUAAAUGUCCCUCCUGUUCAAGGGCUGAAGAUCAUUUAUUGUUGGUUGAGAGGCUGUAACAUUGAUUCAACAUAAAAAUAUCUUUGGUAAUUUAAUUGCUCCUACCAGGUUUUGCUACUUUUCUUAGUCAUCCUGUGAGUCAAUUUACGUUUAUUUGAGGGAUAUAUUAGCGAAAAUUUAGCAGUUUUAAGACAUCCUUCAGACUUCAUUUUUGUUGAUGACAUAUAUUUUGGCAUAUAUUUCACCAUGUGGAUAUAUUUGGUGGCAUAAUAUUUGUGAACAUUUAAAAGCAUGAAGCUAAAGCCAAUGCUUGCCUAGUAGAGAAAUUGACAAAAGAUGCAUGUGACAUGAACCAAUAGAAUCAAGCAUGCUCAAGUUAGAAUACUACAGAUUGUAAGUUAAGAGGGUACCACUGUUGUGGGUAAAGUGAUAGCUCCCUUGACAAUGUUAUGUGUUUCUUUACAUGUGGCUGAACUUUGUUUCCUUUACACAUAUCCUUCAGAAAGUGAAAAAAGCGCAGCAUUCUUUAUUAAAGGUUAAUGAGAGCCUACCUUUCUUUUGUUGAAUAACACCUUGAACUUGGCUUUUCAUUCCACUCAAUCGAAAAACUCUGGACACCUUCAAUGAAAGGCUGAGGAGUCAACCUGUCUACAUCAUAAUCCUAGCCAUCCACUGUCAGAGUGGGUGACCAUACGGUCUCAUUAACAAAUGAGAAUCUUGAUUGAAAUGCUUACUGUAUGGAAAAAAGCACUGAUACUUGACAAA